GUCAAGAGCAGAGCAGACAUCUUAGCACCACGGCUUUUGCAGCGGCGCUGAAGAAUGCUGGUAGUGAUGUGUUUUCACAGCUCAUCUUGCAAGACUCCCAUGCAGUUUCCUGGAGAAGAUGGACUCCUGCCCUCCAGAAUUUUUUUUUUUUUUUUUUUUUUAACAUGUGCUCAUGGAUGAGCAAAGGAAAUUCCUUCCUUCAUUCACUGUGACCUCCAGCCGCUUCCCAAGCUUUCACACAUCAGCCCAGUGACUGUCGGAGGAAGUUGCAGGCCUCAAAAGAGUGCACCCAAGGAACAAAGGGUUGAACACUUGCCAUAGAAAUAACAAACGUUUGACUCCCGCUCCAGCACUCUCUGCUCUCCUGUUUAUGGCAGACGUCACUAAUCAACUUGCUGGACCCAAGUUCCUACCCAACCUCAGCUUCCGGUUUCAAGUUUAUUAACAACAAAACUUCACAUAUCAAAGACCAAACCAAAGCUCUCCAGAAAAUCCCAAGAAAAUCCUGAGCAUGAGCAGCUUCUUCCGUCUGUGGUGGGUCGGUGGGUGCUGAACCCAGAGCAGCCGUGAGUGGGGGCAUGAUGGACUGCAGAGCUGCCCGGCUGGAGCGGGGCUCCCAGAGGCUUGGCAGCCUCAUUAUGGCAUCCCCCAUCCCCGCCCUGGA